GUCCGUGACUCCUUUCGUUAGCCGUUAGUUAGCUACACCAACUGCCACAAACGUUUAACGUUACUCCAAUUUUCUAAGUCAGUUUCCAGUCCAGUUGUGGACAGCCUGUGACCGCGACUCUCGCUUUACUUCAGCAAAGAUUCUCCGCAUCCUCUGCAGUCUCUGGCAGGGCGACUCCGUUCAUCUCAGCCAACUUUGUCACCAAUCCACUGUACAGCACCGACAUCACACCUGAAACAAAUGUAAAGUACUUUUUACAAUGAGACGGAAAAAUUGGGGAUCAGCUGCCAUGUGCGAGUCCCAGGCUGGGGAUAGCCUGCUGAAGGGGGGAAAUGCACGGACGUGAGAAGAACCCCCUGCAAACCCCCUAUCUGCACGUCAUGGAACAUUUGCAGAACAGGGACCUCCCACCUUAAAGGCGUGCAACAGAGAGCAGACACAACAGAGAGAUCUGCUCUGCACCGGACUCACCAUCUUAGGUGACAAAUAGACCCUUGGCUAUUGUGGCUCGGCGGAGGAAGGAGCACAGAAUUACGGCUUUAAAACACAAAAUGAGCGCGGUGUGAAGCAGCGGGGAACAGAGGCUUACCAGUCAC